AUCGCUUCUCGGCCCCCACGGCUUAGAUCAAAGUGUAGUAUCUGUUCUUAUCAGCUUAAUAUCUGAUAUACUCCCCAUAGGGGAGUCAGAAUAUUAAACUAUUUUUUUUAAACAGCAGGUCCCCGGAGCUCGCUCCGAGUCCUGCACGGGUCGUAUCUGCAUUGCAGCUCGCAGAACGCGGCCCACAUAAU